UACGUAGGGCGCAAGCGUUGUCCGGAAUUAUUGGGCGUAAAGAGCUCGUAGGCGGUUUGUCGCGUCUGCUGUGAAAACCUAAGGCUCAACCUUGGGCUUGCAGUGGGUACGGGCAGACUAGAGUGCGGUAGGGGUGACUGGAAUUCCUGGUGUAGCGGUGGAAUGCGCAGAUAUCAGGAGGAACCCCGAUGGCGAAGGCAGGUCACUGGCCGCAACUGACGCUGAAGAGCGAAAGCAAGGGGAGCGAACAGG
rnacentral:rRNA from 1 species